CAGACCUUACAAUGCGACCCCAACCCCAUUACAGCCCCGGGACCCCAAUCCUGAGCCUCCCCACCAACCCAACACGUAGAUCUCACAAACGAUACCCCAACCAACAGCUCCGGGACCCGCGUGGGACCCCCCCCCCCCCCCCCCCCCCCCGCCCUCCCCCUCCCCCCCGGCCCCCACCCACCCAGCACGUAGAUCUUGCCCUGGUAGACGGUGACGCCCAGGGCGCUGCGCCGGUACCGCAUGGGGGCCACGAAGCUCCACGUGUCGCUUUCCACGUCGUAACGCUCGGUGCUGUUGAGCUGAUCCGUCCCAUCGUAGCCCCCCAUGGCGUAGAUGCAGUUGUUGAGGGCGCAGACCCCUGGGGGGGGGAAGGGGGGGGAUCGUAAGGGGGUUGGGGUGGUGGGAGGGUGGGGUGUCGUGGAUCGGGUUGAGGGUGGGAUGAUGGAAAGGUGGGAUCACAAGGAUUGGGGUCGCAGGAGGGUGGGAUUGCAAUGGUUGGGGUCAAGGAAGGGGGAGGUUGGAGGAGGAUGGGAUCCCAAGGAUUGGGGUCAUGGAGGGGUGGGACCGUGGAGAGGUGGGAUCAUAGAAAGGUGGGAUCGUGGAGAGGUGGGAUCAUGGAAGGAUGGGAUCAUGGAGAGUUUGGAUCACCAGGGUUGGGAUCAUGGAAGGGUGGGAUCAUGGAACAGUGGGAUUAUGGAAGGGUGGGACCAUGGAGAGGUGGGAUCAUGAAAAGGUGGGAUCA
rnacentral:lncRNA from 1 species